rnacentral:rRNA from 1 species
AACGAACGCUGGCGGCGUGCCUAACACAUGCAAGUCGAACGGAGUUGAGGGGCUUGCUCCUCAAUUUAGUGGCGCACGGGUGAGUAACGCGUAGAUAAUCUGCCUGAUGAUUUGGGAUAACACUUCGAAAGGAGUGCUAAUACCGGAUAAGCCCACGACGGCCUUGGUCGUUGCGGGAAAAGGGGGGACCUUCGGGCCUUCUGUCAUCAGAUGAGUCUGCGUACCAUUAGCUAGUUGGUAGGGUAAUGGCCUACCAAGGCUACGAUGGUUAGCUGGUCUGAGAGGAUGAUCAGCCACACUGGAACUGAGACACGGUCCAGACUCCUACGGGAGGCAG